rnacentral:lncRNA from 1 species
UAUCAAUCAAUCCUAACAUAAGUGAUAAAAAAUUUAAUAAUUAUUACUGAGAUUUCAAAUACGAAUUCUAAUUUAUUUAUAUUUUUAAGCUAAAUAUAUUUUUUAAAAAAUAAAUAAAAUAAAUAGUAUGGUAUAUUUUUCUCUCAAAAAAAAAGUAUUUACUUAUUGGGUUACCAAAUGUGUUACACAUAUUUAGGUAUGCAAAUAGAUUCGAAUUUGUGGAGUUUCCAUCAAUUUCGAAUUGGGCAGUAAGUAAAAACGAAAAAUAUAUAGAAACAUGUAAGCACUUUUGAAUCUAUUCUGAUCCGUCUCAACCUUUCUCAAAUAGAAUGAUUGGUUGAAGCUAAAAAUAUGAUAAAAAUUAAUCAGUCCUGAUCUGAAAAAUAAUUGGAUGAGAAGUGAAAAACCCUCCUGCUCACGGAUCCGC